rnacentral:lncRNA from 1 species
UUUUCUAAAAAAAUUUAUAUUUUAUGGUGUUUAGAUGCUUCUACAUAAACUACUUUUCGUUGUUUGAUAAGUGUAAUGCCCAAUUUUGACCCGGACCCAACAUAGACAAUAAAAACCAAAUAAAAUUAUUAAAAGUCCAAUGUCAAUAAAGUCCAAUUACAAUGAGCCAAAUUCAGACUAAAACCCGAUGUCUAGCCCAAAUACCAGACCCGAUUACAAACCCAGUAACCCUGAACAAGUUUUGACAGAAACCCUAGCAGCAAUAGCAAGCCUCCAGCACCGCAGCCAUCAGGUUUUUUUCUUCGCACGUACGCCCCAUCCGAGCGUGUACCUGCAACAAAGGAACAACAAAGCAGAAAACAAAGAUGCCAGCUAAUAGAAAGAACAAAAAAAACAGCAGCAAAUAACAAAAAAAGAAGAAAAGAAAAUAGCGAAAAUGACAGAUUUUGUUUUUUCCUUUUUCUAUUUUUUUUUGUUUUUCGAUAUAUAAAAUGAUUGUAAUAGAGCAAAGAGGACUUCCAGAUUGUAAAAAUACACAGAAAAGACAUAUUGAAACACAAAAAAAAAAAACAAAGAUUAAAGAUCGAUUGAUCCUUUUUUUCUCAAAAGGUGGUUCCUUUUUUCGUUUUUCUCUUGGUAUUUGCUUCUCAGCAAGUGAUCCUGUUGUUUUUUUGUUGCAUACAUAUAGAUAUAACGAAAGGGGGUUCUUUCGUUCAUUACUAGCGUAGAAAUAAAAGAGAAAAUAAGUUUUGAGAAAGAAAACUUACCUGGUGACCGGCCUUCUGCUCGCUCCGUCGUAAUCGGAGUCGCGCAAGAGGAUUCGGAAUAGCCACUGAUCGGGAUAUGAAAUGGCGCGGAGUUGAGAGGGGAGAGCUUAAGUUUUUCUUUCAAAUGGCAGAUCAGAUUUAGAUUAGGUUUUUUUUAUUUUUAUGUUUGUUAUAAAAAACGGUGCCGUUUAAGAGGUGAGAUCCGAUGAUCUGACCCGAUUCAGGGAAGAGGAUCCGUGCCUCUUUGUUCAUUGGUUUAUUUUUGCAACUAGUCCUCUUUUGUUUUAUAUUGUUCUAAUUCAACUUUCCGCAGUUUUCGAUUUACACCACAUAAUUUAUUCUGGUUUCAAUUUGGUUCAUAGUUAAACGGCGACGUUUAUUAUCUGAUUUUAAAUGUUUGAACUAUUG